GAUGAACGCUGGCGGCGUGCCUAAUACAUGCAAGUCGAGCGAACAGACGAGGAGCUUGCUCCUCUGACGUUAGCGGCGGACGGGUGAGUAACACGUGGAUAACCUACCUAUAAGACUGGGAUAACUUCGGGAAACCGGAGCUAAUACCGGAUAACAUGUUGAACCGCAUGGUUUAACAGUGAAAGACGGUCUUGCUGUCACUUAUAGAUGGAUCCGCGCCGCAUUAGCUAGUUGGUAAGGUAACGGCUUACCAAGGCAACGAUGCGUAGCCGACCUGAGAGGGUGAUCGGCCACACUGGAACUGAGACACGGUCCAGACUCCUACGGGAGGCAGCAGUAGGGAAUCUUGCGCAAUGGGCGAAAGCCUGACGGAGCAACGCCGCGUGAGUGAAGAAGGUCUUCGGAUCGUAAAACUCUGUUAUUAGGGAAGAACAAAUGUGUAAGUAACUAUGCACGUCUUGACGGUACCUAAUCAGAAAGCCACGGCUAACUACGUG
rnacentral:rRNA from 1 species